GGGACACGUGGUAUCCUGUCUGAAUAUGGGGGGACCAUCCUCCAAGGCUAAAUACUCCUGACUGACCGAUAGUGAACCAGUACCGUGAGGGAAAGGCGAAAAGAACCCCGGCGAGGGGAGUGAAAAAGAACCUGAAACCGUGUACGUACAAGCAGUGGGAGCACCCUUCGGGGUGUGACUGCGUACCUUUUGUAUAAUGGGUCAGCGACUUAUAUUCUGUAGCAAGGUUAACCGAAUAGGGGAGCCGGAGGGAAACCGAGUCUUAAUUGGGCGUUAAGUUGCAGGGUAUAGACCCGAAACCCGGUGAUCUAGCCAUGGGCAGGUUGAAGGUUGGGUAACACUAACUGGAGGACCGAACCGACUAAUGUUGAAAAAUUAGCGGAUGACCUGUGGCUGGGGGUGAAAGGCCAAUCAAACCGGGAGAUAGCUGGUUCUCCCCGAAAGCUAUUUAGGUAGCGCCUCGUGAAUUCAUCUCCGGGGGUAGAGCACUGUUUCGGCUAGGGGGCCAUCCCGGCUUACCAACCCGAUGCAAACUGCGAAUACCGGAGAAUGCUAUCACGGGAGACACACGGCGGGUGCUAACGUCCGUCGUGAAGAGGGAAACAACCCAGACCGCCAGCUAAGGUCCCAAAGUCAUGGUUAAGUGGGAAACGAUGUGGGAAGGCCCAGACAGCCAGGAUGUUGGCUUAGAAGCAGCCAUCAUUUAAAGAAAGCGUAAUAGCUCACUGGUCGAGUCGGCCUGCGCGGAAGAUGUAACGGGGCUAAACCAU
rnacentral:rRNA from 1 species